UAAUUUGAUAAUCCGCAAAAAACCUUACCACAGCUUGAAUAUUUAUAUCUUUGAUAUAUUUACAUGUGUUGCACGGCUGUCUUCAGUUAAUGUCGUGAGACUUUGGUUAGAUCCAUUAAAUUAACGCAAGCCCCUACUUUAUUUUUAAAUAAAGUUGUUCCCCAUUAUAUUGGAUAUGAUAACAGGGAUUAAGACAAGUCCUCAUGGCCUGAAUGCUGU
rnacentral:rRNA from 1 species